rnacentral:misc_RNA from 1 species
CACGGCUUGCACUAUCUUCCCUCAAGAAUCUACCAAGAGUAUCAUUAGCGAGUGCAGUAUCCCGUAUUGCACGAGCUGUCUUCGCUGUUUCCUUUCUCGAGUGAACAAAAAUAAGAACCUGAUGCUUUCCUGCUACAGUCAUUACCUUUUCAUAACAGAUAUCAUUCAUCAACUGAAACCUCUGCAGUGGCUUCUUUACC